UGGAUGAUGUGGUUAAUUCGAUGCAACGCGAAAACCUUACCCACCUUUGACAUGUACGGAACUCGCCAGAGAUGGCUUGGUGCUCGAAAGAGAACCGUAACACAGGUGCUGCAUGGCUGUCGUCAGCUCGUGUCGUGAGAUGUUGGGUUAAGUCCCGCAACGAACGCAACCCUUGUCAUUAGUUGCUACAUUUAGUUGGGCACUCUAAUGAGACUGCCGGUGACAAGCCGGAGGAAGGUGGGGAUGACGUCAAGUCCUCAUGGCCCUUAUAGGUGGGGCUACACACGUCAUACAAUGGCUGGUACAGAGGGUUGCCAACCCGCGAGGGGGAGCUAAUCCCAUAAAACCAGUCGUAGUCCGGAUCGCAGUCUGCAACUCGACUGCGUGAAGUCGGAAUCGCUAGUAAUCGCGGAUCAGAAUGUCGCGGUGAAUACGUUCCCGGGUCUU
rnacentral:rRNA from 1 species